UAUUAACUCUGGCGGCGUGCCUAAUACAUGCAAGUCGAGCGAACAGACGAGGAGCUUGCUCCUCUGACGUUAGCGGCGGACGGGUGAGUAACACGUGGAUAACCUACCUAUAAGACUGGGAUAACUUCGGGAAACCGGAGCUAAUACCGGAUAAUAUAUUGAACCGCAUGGUUCAAUAGUGAAAGCCGGUUUUGCUGUCACUUAUAGAUGGAUCCGCGCCGCAUUAGCUAGUUGGUAAGGUAACGGCUUACCAAGGCGACGAUGCGUAGCCGACCUGAGAGGGUGAUCGGCCACACUGGAACUGAGACACGGUCCAGACUCCUACGGGAGGCAGCAGUAGGGAAUCUUCCGCAAUGGGCGAAAGCCUGACGGAGCAACGCCGCGUGAGUGAUGAAGGUCUUCGGAUCGUAAAACUCUGUUAUUAGGGAAGAACAAAUGUGUAAGUAACUAUGCACGUCUUGACGGUACCUAAUCAGAAAGCCACGGCUAACUACGUG
rnacentral:rRNA from 1 species